UACCAGCACCCCGAGUGGUCGGGACGAUUAUUGGGCCUAAAGCAUCCGUAGCCGGUCCUGCGAGUCUUCCGUUAAAUCCAGCUGCUCAACAGAUGGGCUGCGGAAGAUACUACAGGGCUAGGAGGCGGGAGAGGCAAGCGGUACUUUAUGGGUAGGGGUAAAAUCCGCUGAUCCAUAGAAGACCACCAGUGGCGAAGGCGGCUUGCCAGAACGCGCUCGACGGUGAGGGAUGAAAGCUGGGGGAGCAAACCGG
rnacentral:rRNA from 1 species